AGAGUUUGAUCCUGGCUCAGGAUGAACGCUAGCGAUAGGCCUAACACAUGCAAGUCGAGGGGCAGCACAUGAAGUAGCAAUACGGAUGGUGGCGACCGGCGCACGGGUGAGUAACGCGUAUGCAACCUGCCUACAACAGGGGAAUAACCCGUUGAAAGACGGACUAAUACCCCAUAACACAGGGAUCCCGCAUGGGAAUAUUUGUUAAAGAUUUAUCGGUUGUAGAUGGGCAUGCGUUCCAUUAGCUGGUUGGUGAGGUAACGGCUCACCAAGGCAACGAUGGAUAGGGGAACUGAGAGGUUUAUCCCCCACACUGGUACUGAGACACGGACCAGACUCCUACGGGAGGCAGCAGUGAGGAAUAUUGGUCAAUGGACGCAAGUCUGAACCAGCCACGUCGCGUGAAGGAAGACGGCCCUACGGGUUGUAAACUUCUUUUGUAAGGGAAUAAAGUGCAGUACGUGUACUGUUUUGCAUGUACCUUACGAAUAAGGAUCGGCUAACUCCGUGCCAGCAGCCGCGGUAAUACGGAGGAUCCGAGCGUUAUCCGGAUUUAUUGGGUUUAAAGGGUGCGCAGGCGGGAGAUUAAGUCGGCGGUGAAAUUUUGCAGCUCAACUGUAAAAGUGCCUUCGAAACUGGUUUUCUUGAGUGUGGAUGAAGUAGGCGGAAUUUGUGGUGUAGCGGUGAAAUGCAUAGAUAUCACGAGGAACUCCGAUUGCGCAGGCAGCUUACUAAACCAUAACUGACGCUCACGCACGAAAGCGUGGGGAUCAAACAGGAUUAGAUACCCUGGUAGUC
rnacentral:rRNA from 1 species